rnacentral:rRNA from 1 species
UACGUAGGGUGCAAGCGUUGUCCGGAAUUAUUGGGCGUAAAGAGCUCGUAGGCGGUUUGUCGCGUCUGCUGUGAAAUCCCGAGGCUCAACCUCGGGCCUGCAGUGGGUACGGGCAGACUAGAGUGCGGUAGGGGAGAUUGGAAUUCCUGGUGUAGCGGUGGAAUGCGCAGAUAUCAGGAGGAACACCGAUGGCGAAGGCGGAUCUCUGGGCCGUAACUGACGCUGAGGAGCGAAAGCGUGGGGAGCGAACAGG